AUGAGAGUGUGUGAGGGAGAGAGAGCCCACCCAAGAUCUAGGCGCAUCCCCUUCUCUUCUGGGCCGGCCUCCAAGGCCCAACCGCGCUCCCCCGUAACCCUAGCCCGAUCCCCAUCUCACCAACUCCCUCGCAUCCUCCCCUCGCGCCGCCAGUACCCCGUCGCCCGAACCUACCAUCUCCCCUUCGCCCGAUCCCUUCUCUCAUUCGCUGCCUCUCCUUCCCUCGUCCUCCUCCCAACACUCGCACGCACAGGAGCAGCGUCCCUCGCCCCGAUUCCUUCGGCCUCGUCCUCUCGGCCCCGCCACCAGGACCGCAGCUCCGUCGCCAUGGCCUCUCCGAGCUCUGCCUGCGUCGAGGCCUCAAGCCGCCUUCGUCCCCGCGCUGUGAGACCUCCCCAUCGUCAGCAUCCCUUGCUGCCGCACCUGAGUUCUUCCACGACCACUGCAUCCCUCGCUCGCGCCCGACCGGUGCUGUGCAUCGCCUGCUGCCGACGCCAGAAGUUUGGGUCGUCCCCGACCCUGCGGCCCUGGCCUCCUGCCCCGCGCCCAGAGCUCCAUCCUCUUCGUCGCCUCCCCGCCAUGGCACCCUACAGCAGAGCACCACGGCGAUCCUCUCCUGCGCCUCCCCGAGCAGGAACUCCGCCUCCCCUGCACCCGUGCUUCGCUGACCGGAGGCGUCGUCCUCGACCGUCGCCAGCACCGCUGCCCCGCUUGCGUCCUCGACCUCCUCCUUCCACGCGCUGUCAAGUUUCAGGAGCUGCUGCUGUUUUUCUUUUCCUGCUGCGUCUCCGUCCAUCUGCAGGCGACCGCGCCCGGUAUCUGCGAUGCCUGCUGCUGUCGCUGGAUGCCAAGACCACCGCGACACCUGAACUUCGUGUCGUUGUUCGCUGCCGCCUCCCGUCGUUUUUGCCAAAUACCACAAGUUCCGGAUGGAUGUGCCAAGUCCCCAGCGAGACCCGUUUUCGUCAAGUUCGACUAUACGGCUAUGACCUCGGAGUUGGACCGCAAGCGCCAAGUACCCCACCGGCAAGACCACACGGAUGCUCGAACGAGUACAGAACGAUUCGCAAAGACCGACGAGAACGACUUUGUGGACCGACGAGUACCAUGACGACCAUCGACAUGUACCCCUACACCGCACCGAAACACCGAGUACCUCGCCGUGACCCUGAACAUCCAUGGGAACUUGUGUGA
rnacentral:rRNA from 1 species